rnacentral:rRNA from 1 species
AUACGUAGGUGGCAAGCGUUGUCCGGAUUUACUGGGUGUAAAGGGCGUGUAGGCGGAGAUGCAAGUCAGGAGUGAAAUCUAGGGGCUCAACCCCUAAACUGCUUUUGAAACUGUAUCCCUUGAGUAUCGGAGAGGCAGGCGGAAUUCCUAGUGUAGCGGUGAAAUGCGUAGAUAUUAGGAGGAACACCAGUGGCGAAGGCGGCCUGCUGGACGACAACUGACGCUGAGGCGCGAAAGCGUGGGGAACAAACAGGAUUAGAUACCCUGGUUGUCCACGCUGUAAACGAUGAAUACUAGGUGUGGGGGGACUGACCCCCUCCGUGCCGCAGUUAACACAAUAAGUAUUCCACCUGGGGAGUACGAUCGCAAGAUUGAAACUCAAAGGAAUUGACGGGG